rnacentral:rRNA from 1 species
GACGAACGCUGGCGGCGUGCUUAACACAUGCAAGUCGAACGCUGAAGCUCAGCUUUUGUUGGGUGGAUGAGUGGCGAACGGGUGAGUAACACGUGAGUAACCUGCCUCCUUCUUUGGGAUAACGCCCGGAAACGGGUGCUAAUACUGGAUAUUCACUGGUCUUCGCAUGGGGGGUGGUGGAAAGGGUGUUUCUGGGGGGGGAUGGGCUCGCGGCCUAUCAGCUUGUUGGUGGGGUGAUGGCCUACCAAGGCUUUGACGGGUAGCCGGCCUGAGAGGGUGACCGGUCACAUUGGGACUGAGAUACGGCCCAGAAUCCUACGGGAGGCAGAAGUGGGGAAUAUUGCACAAUGGGUGCAAGCCUGAUGCAGCGACGCCGCGUGAGGGAUGGAGGCCUUCGGGUUGUGAACCUCUUUCGCUAAUGGUCAAGCCGCAACAAUGGUUGUGGUGAGGGUAGUGGGUAAAGAAGCGCCGGCUAACUACGUG